UACGGCGAGUGAGCGGUAAAAGCUCAAAUUUGAAAUCUGGUACUUUCAGUGCCCGAGUUGUAAUUUGUAGAAUUUGUCUUUGAUUAGGUCCUUGUCUAUGUUCCUUGGAACAGGACGUCAUAGAGGGUGAGAAUCCCGUUUGGCGAGGAUACCUUUUCUCUGUAAGACUUUUUCGAAGAGUCGAGUUGUUUGGGAAUGCAGCUCAAAGUGGGUGGUAAAUUCCAUCUAAAGCUAAAUAUUGGCGAGAGACCGAUAGCGAACAAGUACAGUGAUGGAAAGAUGAAAAGAACUUUGAAAAGAGAGUGAAAAAGUACGUGAAAUUGUUGAAAGGGAAGGGCAUUUGAUCAGACAUGGUGUUUUUUGCAUGCACUCGCCUCUCGUGGGCUUGGGCCUCUCAAAAAUUUCACUGGGCCAACAUCAAUUCUGGCAGUAGGAUAAAUCAUUAAGAAUGUAGCUACCUCGGUAGUGUUAUAGCUUAUUGGAAUACUGCUAGCUGGGAUUGAGGACUGCGCUUCGGCAAGGAUGUUGGCAUAAUGGUUAAAUGCCGCCCGUCUUG
rnacentral:rRNA from 1 species